rnacentral:rRNA from 1 species
UACGAAGGGGGGCUAGCGUUGUUCGGAAUUACUGGGCGUAAAGCGCGUGUAGGCGGGUCUUUAAGUCAGGGGUGAAAUGCCAAGGCUCAACCUUGGAACUGCCUUUGAUACUGGAGAUCUUGAGUCCGGGAGAGGUGAGUGGAACUGCGAGUGUAGAGGUGAAAUUCGUAGAUAUUCGCAAGAACACCAGUGGCGAAGGCGGCUCACUGGCCCGGAACUGACGCUGAGACGCGAAAGCGUGGGGAGCAAACAGG